UUGGACCUGAUAUCAGACAAGACUUACCC
rnacentral:rRNA from 1 species